GAACUGAAGAGUUUGAUCAUGGCUCAGAUUGAACGCUGGCGGCAGGCCUAACACAUGCAAGUCGAGCGGAUGAAGGGAGCUUGCUCCUGAAUUCAGCGGCGGACGGGUGAGUAAUGCCUAGGAAUCUGCCUG
rnacentral:rRNA from 1 species